rnacentral:rRNA from 1 species
AAGCGGAGUGAUCUACCCAUGGCCAGGUUGAAGCGCCGGUAAGACGGCGUGGAGGACCGAACCCACUUAGGUUGAAAACUGAGGGGAUGAGCUGUGGGUAGGGGUGAAAGGCCAAUCAAACUCCGUGAUAGCUGGUUCUCCCCGAAAUGCAUUUAGGUGCAGCGUUGCGUGUUUCUUGCCGGAGGUAGAGCUACUGGAUGGCUGAUGGGCCUCACCAGGUUACUGACGUCAGCUAAACUCCGAAUGCCGGUAAGUGAGAGCGUGGCAGUGAGACUGCGGGGGAUAAGCUCCGUAGUCGAGAGGGAAACAGCCCAGAUCACCAGCUAAGGUCCCUAAGCGUGUGCUAAGUGGAAAAGGAUGUGGAGUUGCAGUGACAACCAGGAGGUUGGCUUAGAAGCAGCCACCCUUUAAAGAGUGCGUAAUAGCUCACUGGUCAAGUGAUUCCGCGCCGACAAUGUAGCGGG